rnacentral:tRNA from 1 species
CCCGAGGUAGCUCAGUUGGUAGAGCAGCAGAAUCAUAAUCUGAAGGUUCGCCGGUUCGACCCCGGCCCUCGGGACCA